UCAUUAUUACAUAUCCUACUCCAGACCCCAAAAUUCCCUGUAACAUAUGAAAAAGUGGUUUUGUUUUGUUCAGUCAAUUCUCUGCAGAGUUUUCUUAACUAACUUUAAUGAAUUGUAACGGGAUGAUCUUACUGUAUAUAGAACAGUAACAAUUUCCACUGUCUGUUUGAGGACCCACACCGAUUUCCGCCUCUGUAUCGCCACCGUCAGUCCCCCGCCCUGCAUGGAGCUGAUGAGGAACAUGUAUGCAGUGCUGGAAUAGAGUGCUGGGUACUUCUUAGUGAGCUUGGACUGCAGCAGGAGCCAGAAGGAAAAGCACAGGCAGUUUGCCAGUAAUGCUAGAGUGCCCAGCGUCCAGCUUUUCUUGCCAGAUUCUGUUGUUGCUUCUGCAUGCUGGCUUGAAAGCACAGAUUGGUCACCUUGGUGUGUCAAGGCCACACCCUUGUAGAGGGUAAGAAGCAUGACGCCGGCGAACGACAUGAGUGUCCCGGUGAUCUUCGCUACUCCUGCCUUGCUCUUUAUGUUCAGUGACUCCACCCUGCAUCCAUGAGUAGCAUUCCAAAAGGUUUCAGAUAACAUUAGGAAGAACAAGGUGCAUGAAAGUUACCAGGAAAAUUUUGAAAAUUGGCACACCUUAGCAAGACAGCAAUGAUGAAAGUGAGCACAGGAGCUAAGUUCGUAAAAGUUAUGGCAAAUGUUGCUGUUGUGUAUUGCAACCCGUAGAAAAAGGUAUACUGAGAGAGAGCCGCGCUAAAUGGGAGGAAAAACACAAGAAAAGGAAAUGAUGAGUUAAGCUUUAAGUAGAAUCAUAUCUGGGAGGACAUUAGCCAGGUCACUGUACAAAUAUGAGGAAGUGACAUUUGUGAAGUUAUGCUUGAAACCAUACCCUAGCGCUGCGCUGAAGAAGAGGUAUAUGAGGAUCUCCAGUGUGAGCUUAGGCCUUGUGGUCCUGAGAAAACAACGGUAAUGUCAAUUUAUAGCCCAAUUCUGAAAUCUUAUCAAAUGCUUUGAAUUAAAUUUAUGUACCGUUCUUUGAAAAAUGCAAUCGGAGAAAGGAAGACUGUGGCCACCAGUUGUCGCAGCGUGAUGAGUACUAGACGGUCAAGCCCCUCCUCGAGGGCCUUCUUGAUCAAGGCCGUUGUCACGGCAGAGAUGAGGUCAAAGACCAGCAUUGCGAUCACCGGUUUCCACUCAGCAAUGUGCGCCAUCCCCCACAUUGGUGCAGCUGAAUCUUUCACACCCUUCACUUAUAUUGCCAUGACAAUGCUCUUGUCAUGGACUACUUAUAGGCAAUAUUUUACUAUGUGGAGACCCUUCUGAAAAUUAAAGAGAUCUCGUGGAGGAUACGCGACAAUGACCCUUUUACCCUCCAAAAAAGGUUCCAAUGCUCUUCUCAUCGAGUACUUAUUGGCAUGAAACAGUCCAUCCUCACAUGAACUUUUUUCGCAGUGCCAUAAGAUGAUACUGACAUGAAUUGUCAGGAUAUUUCCUCUAUUGCUGAGCUAGCGGUGGCAGUGGAAGCAUCAACCAGAAGGAUCCCACUGUUUGCACACUUUGGUGAGUUUGGCAGGUUCCUGUUUGGACUACAAACUUGACCCUAUUCCCAUCAUGGUAAGGGUGCAAAGCUGUUCAGUUGUGCAAAAAAGGCGGCACCAUCCCAUCCGAUCCAAUCCAAAGGAAAAGCAGGAUGGUGAGUUGUAAGUGGAGUGAUCACCUAGUAUGAAAGCUCCCCGUCUCAUCCAUGUCCCUUGAAAAUUGGAGCAACAGAAAGACGGAGGGCCGAGCUCAGCUCCCAAUUGCAGAGAAGGAACAACGAAAGCAGGUUUUCGCAAUGCGGCAUUGCCCAUGGUGGAACUGCACUUGGCUGUCACAGCAUUUUUACUUCAUGAUCAGGAAAUGGCCAGCGAGCCAGAGCUAGCUCCUAGAUGCAGCAGGGAAGAAUAAUCUCCAUCGCCGACAACCGCUAGUAGAUCCAGACCGGUGCGGUGACACCAAAUUCCCCGAGAUCAGAUGUAGUCUAUGCACAUUAUGCGGCGAGCAUCAACCCACUUGUUACUUUCAGUUGAGACGACGCUACCGCCACUUGUCCACUUGUUUCUACUGCAGGGGGUGGAUUCAGACAAGCUGCUGAAUUAUGCACAUCCAAAGUAUAGCAUGACUGUUCAGAUCACAGUCUGAGCCACACAUGCAGCCAUAUCCCUUUUAAGGCUUUAGCUUCUUGCAAGGACAGAUAGAUGGAACUGUGUGGUGUUGUCCCAAUCACAGUACAUGCCCUAACCUAAGAAAGCACGUUAAGCAGCAAAGAAAAAGAAAGCACUGGCUUUAUCCAUAGGCCUAUGGUUGAGCAAAGUGCUGAGCCUCCUCCAUGCUGAAACAAAAGGUAGCUUUAACCUGCCACAAAAGUUUUCAAAAAAGAAAAGAGAAGGAUUUGCAUUUGUGCUUUUGGAGAAAAAGAAAAGCAAAAUGAUUGUAUAUAUCAGAGCAGCAUCUUAGAAAGAGAGGUUUAACUAGUAUGAUUGGCCUAGUGCCCAAUGUAAUCUAGCACAGAUUUGAUGCUGACCUUAAAUAUCUGAUAUAUUAGUGUAGUGUCA